ACUCCCUGUAACAGUCUAUCACGCUAUGUUAUACAAUGAGCGGCGUUAUCUCAUUGAUGUCACUGAAGUGUUCCGUGCUAUUAGCUUUGAAAAGAAGUUCCGGUUUACCAAGCUCGGCUUCUACAUCCUUCUCUUCAUCAUGGUUGUCUUUAGGCUUACUCUCUCGGCGGUCUAUAGCUUCACGGAGGACGAUGAUCUGCUUCAUUUGUUUUGAUUUAUGCGCUCUGCUUUAACCACUCCCCAUUUAUUUGCUGAGUGUGUUUGAGAAAAUUGUGAGACGGGUUUUACAUCCCUGCUUAGAAUUAGCCAAUUAGGGAUUCAUGAUGUAGAUUUAUAUAAUGUACUUUUACUGGAAAAUUCCUCACAAAUCUUUUGACAUGGAUUGUUUCACCAGUUUUUUGCACAAUAUAAUGUUAUAGUCUCAUAAUUGGA